UACGGGGGGGGUAAGCGUUGUUCGGAAUUACUGGGCGUAAAGGGCUCGUAGGUGGCCAACUAAGUCAGACGUGAAAUCCCUCGGCUUAACCGGGGAACUGCGUCUGAUACUGGACGGCUUGAGUUUGGGAGAGGGACGCGGAAUUCCAGGUGUAGCGGUGAAAUGCGUAGAUAUCUGGAGGAACACCGGUGGCGAAGGCGGCGUCCUGGACCAACACUGACACUGAGGAGCGAAAGCCAGGGAGCAAACGGG
rnacentral:rRNA from 1 species